rnacentral:rRNA from 1 species
UACGUAGGGUGCGAGCGUUAAUCGGAAUUACUGGGCGUAAAGCGUGCGCAGGCGGUUUGUUAAGUCAGAUGUGAAAGCCCCGGGCUUAACCUGGGAACGGCAUUUGAAACUGGCAGGCUGGAGUGCGGCAGAGGGGGGUGGAACUGCGAGUGUAGAGGUGAAAUUCGUAGAUAUUCGCAAGAACACCAGUGGCGAAGGCGGCUCACUGGCCCGGUACUGACGCUGAGGUGCGAAAGCGUGGGGAGCAAACAGG